AUGUAACUCGGGAAAACUGAACCACCACGUGUGGGUGAUGAGCCACCGUACGGAACAAUCGUUAGAUAGUAAGUCUGAGCUG
rnacentral:misc_RNA from 1 species